GACGAACGCUGGCGGCGUGCUUAACACAUGCAAGUCGAACGGAAAGGCCCUGCUUUUGUGGGGUGCUCGAGUGGCGAACGGGUGAGUAACACGUGAGUAACCUGCCCUUGACUUUGGGAUAACUUCAGGAAACUGGGGCUAAUACCGGAUAUGAGCUCCUGCUGCAUGGUGGGGGUUGGAAAGUUUCGGCGGUUGGGGAUGGACUCGCGGCUUAUCAGCUUGUUGGUGGGGUAGUGGCUUACCAAGGCGUUGACGGGUAGCCGGCCUGAGAGGGUGACCGGCCACAUUGGGAAGGAGAUACGGCCCAGACUCCUACGGGAGGCAGCAGUGGGGAAUAUUGCACAAUGGGCGGAAGCCUGAUGCAGCAACGCCGCGUGCGGGAUGACGGCCUUCGGGUUGUAACCCGCUUUCGCCUGUGACGAAGCGUGAGUGACGGUAAUGGGUAAAGAAGCACCGGCUAACUACGUG
rnacentral:rRNA from 1 species